UUAAUUGAAACCAAAAUAUAGAGGUUUUUUAUUGUUAAUAAAAUUAUUGAGUUAUACUCCAAUUAAA
rnacentral:tRNA from 1 species